ensembl:lncRNA
AUUCGAGGGGUUUCCUUAUAAAACUCUCGCAAUACUUUAUUUAAACACACCUGUUUUGAAAGGCCAUUUUGUUUUUAGAGUUAGGCCUUACUUCUUAAGGGAUAAUUUUAGUGUUUUGCUGGUAACAUGGUGAUAUAUGAGUGAGUGAAUGGCCGUGGCAAGAAAAACUGCAGCAUCAUGGUUUUAGUGUUUGCUUUGGGCAUUUUUUAUUGCCACUUCAGCCUACUUAUAGCUUAUUUUUCUACUUGUUGAGAAAGUAUUAUUAAGAGAAUGGUGAGGAAAGUGAAAUGAGAGCCAUAGUUGCAGUGUUCCUGUUCCAGGGGAUUGGGCUGCACGGAGGAUGUGUUUCAUGUCCUUCUGAAGGCUGUUGAUGAGCCCAUCUCCUGUCUUGUGUAGGACUGGGCACUGUUACUGCUCCUGAGCUCUGUGCUGCAUGGUGGGGGAAACUCAGGUUAUAGAUGGGAAUUUCGGCCCAGAGACAUGAAUGACCUGCUCAAGAUACCUUUCCACCUGACCAGGACACCGGCCUUGCUUUUAUUUCUGACUUUAGUGUCACAGAGAAGCUUGAACCAUUUAAUUUUGAGCCCCAAUUUAUAUGUGAAGCUCUGAAAAACCAAGGGUCCUGUAUUUCUGUAAUUUUCUUAUUUCUUUAGCUAUGUAAAUUUUAAAACUUCAGUUGUUCCAGUUUUCUGUCCCGCAUGUUUUAAAAAAAAUGUACAUUUACAAAGGCACAUUGAAGGUCUCUGCACCUAUACUCCAUGUGGCCAUGUUUCCAUAAAAUACACUCCUGGUAGCACAAAUUCUGUUUUUAUUUUAUGUGGCCAGUUACAGACACAGUCUUUUGUUUCACUUAUCAGUCCACUCCACCUCCAAGGCAGACUUAAAUAGAUCUAUCUCCGUAUGAACACCAGAUGCCAAAUGAACGUUGUGGUGACCACAGGUCUGUUUCCCUCGCCAAUUCUACUGUACUUGGUGACACUGGAGAGUCUGUUUCCAGCUGAAAAGAAAUAUACUUGGCUGUCAUGUCUUGGGAUGUGUCAUGUGGUGGAAAGUUGCCACAUGUGAUGCAUGACAAUACUGCUUUUGAUGGUUAAAAAUGUUCCUUAUUUUACAUCAUAUGUAAUCAGAAUAGCUUUGUUCAGAUGGUAAUCAUUAUUCAAGCUGUAUCCUUUACAAGCAAAAUACUAAACUCAGUUUUUAAUGUUGCACUGGAAUGUUAAUUUUGAAAUAGGAAUUACUGGAACCACAGAUACUGAGUUAUGUCACUGAAAUGCCCUUGAAGGAGGUGGUCUCCCUGUGUUCUGCCCCCUGACAGAGUGGGGGGACCUGUGGACUGAAGUCCUGUCAUACAUGUGCUCCCCCAUCUCCAGUCCCUGUCCCUAGCUGGGCAAGCCACGCUGGGCAACUGUAGUUGAGUCUGGAAGUUCACUGUCCCUAGUGACUUCAUCCUGAGAGGAAAUGCGUGCUCAGCAUAAAGACGGGCUGAGAUGCUUCAUUUCCCUGGCUCCAGUUCUCAUAGAUGCCAAUCUUUUGGUCACCUCGCUUAGGUAGUCCUAAAUCAAGAAGUUAGGUGAGUUGGAGGAACUUGUUCACUUUAACUGAAGUAAAAUGUUUAGUCAGCAUUUUAUUUCCAUGUGCACUUUUAAAUAGUUGGCCGUUGAUGUUGCACACAUGCCAGUCUGCUUGUUUCUUAGCUCUGUGCAUUUAAUUUCUUGAGUUAACUUCAAGGUUAGAUUUAAAGAGAAGGGAGAGAUGAGCGACUGUGUUUCAGAUCAACAUUGAUGAAGUGGCCCGGACCGGGAUGCAAGAUCUGGAUCAUGGGAGAAGUUCCUGCCAUUGAUACAGAAUGACCCACGUUUGUUUUCUACAUUAAUUGUGAUUCUGUGUGAUCUUUUUCUCCUUCCCAAGUUUAUAGACACCGGCAUGGAAUGCAGUUCCAUUUUUUUUCCCCUCGGGUUGGUAUUUUCUUUUCUCUUCUGAUUGCUUGCCUGUCUCCAGUAUUCUGUUGUGUCCUCUGAACCAGUUUUUCCCUGUAUAUGCAAAUUGUAUGUUUAUAAGUGAAAAUGUUAAUACAUUAAAUGAUUGUUAACCUUAAAGCAUAAAAAAAAAAAAAAAAAAGAA